GAUGACUGCCCACAACCACCUCCUUCAGCUCCACGAUGUUGGGAUGUCUGAGCCGUAGCAACAGGGUGAUUUCUCUCAGGCUGCUGAUGGGGAUGCCUGACCAAGACAAAAACAUCAUCAGAGACUCAAAGCGCUUCACAUAGUGAGACCCAUUUCCUACAUCUUUUAAGCUCCCUUUAAACCACUGUGGGUGGCACUGGGAGCAGCGCUCACAGAGAAGUGGGAACUCAUCAUUCAUUCACACCUGGUGGUGGUAAGAUACAUCAGCCACAGUUGCCCUGGGGUAGACUGACGAACACAAUGGCAGUCACUAGGAUGACGGAAACGGGAAUCGAACCUGCAACCCUCAAGCUGCUGGCGCGGUCGCUCUACAAACCGAGCCACACCUCUCAAAUUUAAUGCCCAUUUUUAAUUGCAUAUUGUUAUUGUUUACACACUACUGUAAGCUUUUGAAAAAGAUAAUGUUGAAUAGUUGAAAAGUUUACAUUAACUUUUAUCUAGCUAAUUAGAAUUGGCUCUCAAGACUGUUUGACCUGAGAAUGUAUUUUUAUCUAUUUACUUUUCUGUAGUAGCAUCCGGUGUUCUGACUUCAAGCACCUGCCGUAGACAAUAGCCAAUUUCAAAGGUUUUGCCAGUCAAUCAAACUGUACAUUCAAUCAAAAUGAUUAAAAGGAACUGCACUCAUACCCUCUGAAUAAACAUCCAAUUCUAAAUUAUUUGAUCAAUAUAAUAUACCCUUAAGUCAUUUUUUGAAUGUGAUCUCUUUAAAAAAAAUGUAAGAAAUGCAUAUCCUCUGAAAGUAUGACUUAUAGCCACAAACUGGAGGAUUUUUUUUUUUUAAUCAAGAUAAAAUUUAAAAAUAUAUUUGUAAGGUUUUAUGGAAUAAUAAAAUAACAUCACACUAGGAAUGCAAAUGAUGCAUGUGUUUAAUUUUUUUUAGAAAUAGACAUGUCAUUAAAUAUUUGGAAAAAGCGCUUUUCUUGCUUCCUCUUGGAUCCACUUUGAAAGCCAGAGCCGAAGAAAAGAAAAGGGACAGACGUAGCCAUUUAUCAACGUUAUUAAGUUCAUUUUCAUUCAUUGUUUGAUUGAUUGACGUAUUGACUAUUGGCCAAGUCCUACAAUUGUAUUACAAAAUGUUUGCGGAUGACUCGGCCUUGCUGGUAUCCGGAAAGGAAAAAAUCCUCAGUGCUAGUAUUUGCACCUGACUCGUUGACAAUAAACUUUCCAUACACUUAGAUAAAACGGAAUCCAUCCUAUUUGGGUCCCAAAUCAACCUUAAGAAAGUCAGUGACUUCACUAUUAAAGUGGGCGACAUUGUUAUCACCAGGAAAGAUGAGGUCACCUACCUAGGUUCCAUACUAGAGGCUAAUCUUUCCUGUGAUAAAAUGGCAACCAAGGUAAUCAAAAAGGUCAACCAACAAGCGAGAUUUCUCUACAGAAUCUCCUUUCUGGUCAACAAAAGCACCUUGAAGAUUCUAGCGGGAACUCUCAACCCUUUUUCGAUUACGCUUGCACCUCCUGGUACCCCAGCACGUCCAAAACCCUCAAAUCUAGACUCGAAAAAUCCCAGCACAAGCUAGUCAGGUUACUUCUAGACCUCCACCCCAGAUCCCACCUCACUCCAACCCACUUCUCCAAAGUGGGCUGGCUCAGGGUGAAGGACAGAGUAAAACAACUUGCACUGAGCCUAGUCUAUAAAAUCCGCUACACCUCCCUGAUACCGAAGUACAUGUCAAACUACUUCCUUAAUGCAAAUGACCGCCAUAACCACAACACCAGGGGGAGCUCCACAAACCACGUUAAACCCAGAUUCCGAUCUAACAAAGGUCUUAACUCAUUCUCUUUCUAUGCCACAUCAAUAUGGAAUGCACUCCCAACAGGUGUUGAAGAAAGUACAUUAUAACAAUAAUAAUGGAUUAGAUUUAUAUCGCGCUUUUCUAUUGUUAGAUACUCAAAGCGCUCACAGAGAAGUUGGAACCCAUCAUUCAUUCACACCUGGUGGUGGUAAGCGACAUCUGUACCCACAGCUGCCCUAGAGUAGACUGACGGAAGCGUGGCUGCCAGUUUGCGCCUACGGCCCUUCCGACCACCACCAAUCAUUCAUUCAUCAUUCAUUCACCAGUGUGAGUGGCACCGGGGGCAAGGGUGAAGUGUCCUGCCCAAGGACACAACGGCAACGAUUUGGAUGUCAAUAGGUGGGAAGCGAACCUGCAACCCUCAGGUUUCUGUCACGGCCGCUCUACCCACUACGCCAUGCCGCCCCUAAAUCAUCUCUGUCCUCCUUCAAAACCACACUAAAAGAACACCUCCAGGCAACUUCAACUUUUAACUAACACCCUCCCUCCUCCACAUACCACCUCCCCGGAUUGUAAAUAAUCAAAUGUAAAUAAUCAAAUGUAUAUAAUUGUUCUUAUUAGGGGUGUUGGAAAAAAUGGAUUCGAAUACGAAUCGAAUCAUUUACGUUGUGCGAUUCGGAAUCUAUUCUCAUUUUUUAAAAAUCGUUUUUUUUUUUUUAAUUAAAUUUUUUUUUUUUUUUUAAUCAAUCCAACAAACCAUUACACAUAAAUACCAUAAUAAUGCAAUCCAAUUCCAAAUCCAAACCUGACCCAGCAACACUCAGAACUGCAAUAAACAGCAGGAGAGGAGACAAACACGACACAGAACAAACCAAAAGUAGUGAAACAAAAAUGAUUAUCAACAACAGUAUAAAUAUUAAUUAUAAUUUCAGCAUAGCAGUGAUUAAAAAUCCCUCAUUGACAUUAUCAUUAGACAUUUAUAAAAAUAAUAAAAAAGAACAAUAGUGUCAAAGUAGCUUUCACUUGCAUCGCUUUUCAUAAGCUUAACAACACACUGUGUCCAAUGUUUUCACAAAGACAAAAUAAGUCAUAUUUUUGGUUCGUUUAAUACUUAAAACUAAUUUCCAUUAUUGCAAUCAGUUGAUAAAACAUUGUCCUUUACAAUUAUAAAAGCUUUUUUUUUUUUUUUAAAUCUACUACUCUGCUGGUAUGUCAGCAGACUGGGGUAGAUCCUGCUAAAAUCUUAUGUAUUGAAUGAAUACAGAAUCGUUUUGAAUCGGAAAAAUAUCGUUUUUGAAUCGAGAAUCAAAUCGAAUCGAAAAAAAAAAUCGAUAUAUUAUCAAAUCGUGACCCCAAGAAUCGAUAUUGAACUCACUAUGUUCACUGCUUGCCGUAAAUAUCCUACAAAGUCAGACCUACACUGUUUCUAUGUCCAUUUCUCAGAUGAUGCAAUUGUUGAUGACUGAAGUGCUGAUAUCAACCAAACCUAACUGCCCCUCCCCCCCAAUUGUAAACAAUUCAAUGUAUAUCCUCAGAUGAUUAACUUGUGUGAUGACUGUAUUAUGCUGAUAGUAUAUAUUUGUUGUACUUGUAUUGAUUUACGUGGAUUCCGACUUAAGUUGAAAAACUUAUUCGGGUGUUACCAUUUAGUGGUCAAUUGUACGGAAUAUGUACUGUACUGUGCAAUCUACUAAUAAAAGUUUCAAUUAAUCACUCAAUAUUAUAUUGCGUUUUAAUGCCAUUUAAGGCCUUAAUUCUUGCAAAAUCCUUUCGACUUGAGAUGCUUUUUCAAAAACCCUGAAACACAAGAAAACAUCCUAAACACAGGUUAGUUUUAUGUGAGAGUGAAAGCUUGUUUGUUGCCCCGCAAUCUGUGGGGGGGCCCUGUAUUGCGUGACGAAGUGCAUGUAAAACGCUUCAUACAAAAUUCUACCGCAAAAGUAUUCCUAGCCGCUUCAUACUUGGUCACUGAUAUGCAUAGAAUGGCACAUUUUCCCAAUUAAUUCCUCCGGCUCUUGUGGAUGGACUAAAGCAGUGGGUCUCAAACUUUUUUCCCCAGAAAAAACUUGGCUCUCCAAGUACCACCAUAA